rnacentral:ncRNA from 1 species
AUCUUCGGGGCAGGGCGCAAUUCCCUACCGGCGGUAUAGUCCGCGACCACUUUGGUGAAUGAACCGGUGCAAUUCCGGUACCGACAGUUACAGUCUGGAUGAGAGAGGAU